GACAACUCUAGAGAUAGAGCUUUCCCCUUCGGGGGACAAAGUGACAGGUGGUGCAUGGUUGUCGUCAGCUCGUGUCGUGAGAUGUUGGGUUAAGUCCCGCAACGAGCGCAACCCUUAAGCUUAGUUGCCAUCAUUAAGUUGGGCACUCUAAGUUGACUGCCGGUGACAAACCGGAGGAAGGUGGGGAUGACGUCAAAUCAUCAUGCCCCUUAUGAUUUGGGCUACACACGUGCUACAAUGGACA
rnacentral:rRNA from 1 species